rnacentral:rRNA from 1 species
UGCAGUCGAACGCUUUGUGGUUCAACUGAUUUGAAGAGCUUGCUCAGAUAUGACGAUGGACAUUGCAAAGAGUGGCGAACGGGUGAGUAACACGUGGGAAACCUACCUCUUAGCAGGGGAUAACAUUUGGAAACAGAUGCUAAUACCGUAUAACAAUGACAACCGCAUGGUUGUUAUUUAAAAGAUGGUUCUGCUAUCACUAAGAGAUGGUCCCGCGGUGCAUUAGCUAGUUGGUAAGGUAAUGGCUUACCAAGGCGAUGAUGCAUAGCCGAGUUGAGAGACUGAUCGGCCACAAUGGGACUGAGACACGGCCCAUACUCCUACGGGAGGCAGCAGUAGGGAAUCUUCCACAAUGGGCGAAAGCCUGAUGGAGCAACGCCGCGUGUGUGAUGAAGGGUUUCGGCUCGUAAAACACUGUUGUAAGAGAAGAAUGACAUUGAGAGUAACUGUUCAAUGUGUGACGGUAUCUUACCAGAAAGGAACGGCUAAAUACGUGCCAGCAGCCGCGGUAAUACGUAUGUUCCAAGCGUUAUCCGGAUUUAUUGGGCGUAAAGCGAGCGCAGACGGUUAUUUAAGUCUGAAGUGAAAGCCCUCAGCUCAACUGAGGAAUUGCUUUGGAAACUGGAUGACUUGAGUGCAGUAGAGGAAAGUGGAACUCCAUGUGUAGCGGUGAAAUGCGUAGAUAUAUGGAAGAACACCAGUGGCGAAGGCGGCUUUCUGGACUGUAACUGACGUUGAGGCUCGAAAG